CAGCGCACAUCACCAUAAUAAUAACGCUCAUCCAUUAACGGUGAAAGUGACAUAAUAAUCUAUUUUGUAAAUAGUAAAUAUUGUAAUGAUCUUUGCUGAAGACGACGGUGUUGGCGACAACAACAAUGUGUUAAAUACGUCGUUCCGCCUUCAUCACAUUUUCAUAACGAUGAAAAUAAGUUAUACAAUUUAGGACAAUGAUAGUUCGCGCAAAGGACGAUGCUGCAAGAGGAAAAACAGACGGCGUGAAAUGAAAAAUAAAAAUAAGGAUAAUGGCAAACGCACGCGGAAUAGUAAUAUUGUGUAGAUACUAGGUAUACCGUUUUAAAAUAAUUUAAUCGAAUCUAAGUAAGUUUAUCAUAAAUUAAUUUAAGUUUGAAAUCCUACUAAAUACUUUUCUGUUUAUUCAAUAGUAAUUAUAAACAAACGGGG